AUCUUCCAAGACGCCUUUGGACCAACAGGUGGGGCUAUACAGCCCAAGCUCCCAAAAAACAGUUUUCAUACUUCCCUCAUCGAAGAACUUACUUCACUAUAUUUGUGUUUGCUGUCCUCUUAUUUUGAAUAUUGACUGAUCCUAACUUGAACCUGAGGAGACCAACGAGGCAGUUCAGAGACAAAUUUGUUCCCAAAGUCCAAAGAUCAUCCUGAAGGAGGCGAGUGUCCACAGAAAUACCCACAAUGAGUGCCUUAUUCACCAAUAAGAGGGUCCAGGUCAGUGGUCUGCUGAUUAUCAGCAGGAUAUCUUGGGUGUAGCGGUUGUCCAGAUUCAAAUUACAAUAUCUGCACUGGGCUGUCAGGUGGUUGAACCGAGAUGGAAUACGUACAGUAAAGGAUCUGGACAUCUCCUGGAU